AGCUUUGUACACUGGCAGUAUCAUAGCCAGUGAGGUUCAUUGGAGGCACAGUUAUUGCUAGUCGAAAAAUUUUCCCACAUAUCCAGUAGAAAUUUCCAGUAAAAAAUUACUAAAUAUUUAGUUCUGUAUGAGCAUA
ensembl:snRNA U4 U4 spliceosomal RNA